GACGAACGCUGGCGGCACGCUUAACACAUGCAAGUCGAACGAGAGAAGAGAAGCUUGCUUUUCUGAUCUAGUGGCGGACGGGUGAGUAACACGUGAGCAAUCUGCCUUUCAGAGGGGGAUACCGAUUGGAAACGAUCGUUAAUACCGCAUAACAUAAUUGAACCGCAUGAUUUGAUUAUCAAAGAUUUAUCGCUGAAAGAUGAGCUCGCGUCUGAUUAGCUAGUUGGUAAGGUAACGGCCUACCAAGGCGACGAUCAGUAGCCGGACUGAGAGGUUGAUCGGCCACAUUGGGACUGAGACACGGCCCAGACUCCUACGGGAGGCAGCAGUGGGGAAUAUUGCACAAUGGAGGAAAACUCUGAUGCAGCGAUGCCGCGUGAGGGAAGAAGGUUUUAGGAUUGUAAACCUCUGUCUUCAGGGACGAAAAAGACGGUACCUGAGGAGGAAGCUCCGGCUAAACUAACGUGCCAGCAGCCGCCGUAAG
rnacentral:rRNA from 1 species